rnacentral:rRNA from 1 species
UACAGAGGGGGCAAGCGUUGUUCGGAAUUACUGGGCGUAAAGGGCGCGUAGGCGGCCUGUUAAGUCGAACGUGAAAUCCCCGGGCUCAACCCGGGAACUGCGUCCGAUACUGGCAGGCUUGAAUUCGGGAGAGGGAUGCGGAAUUCCAGGUGUAGCGGUGAAAUGCGUAGAUAUCUGGAGGAACACCGGUGGCGAAGGCGGCAUCCUGGACCGAGAUUGACGCUGAACGGCGAAAGCUAGGGGAGCAAACGGG